UGGGGAAUAUUGCACAAUGGGGGAAACCCUGAUGCAGCGACGCCGCGUGGAGGAAGAAGGUCUUCGGAUUGUAAACUCCUGUUGUUGAGGAAGAUAAUGACGGUACUCAACAAGGAAGUGACGGCUAACUACGUGCCAGCAGCCGCGGUAAAACGUAGGUCACAAGCGUUGUCCGGAAUUACUGGGUGUAAAGGGAGCGCAGGCGGGAAGACAAGUUGGAAGUGAAAUCCAUGGGCUCAACCCAUGAACUGCUUUCAAAACUGUUUUUCUUGAGUAGUGCAGAGGUAGGCGGAAUUCCCGGUGUAGCGGUGGAAUGCGUAGAUAUCGGGAGGAACACCAGUGGCGAAGGCGGCCUACUGGGCACCAACUGACGCUGAGGCUCGAAAGUGUGGGUAGCAAACAGGAUUAGAUACCCUGGUAGUCCACACCGUAAACGAUGAUUACUAGGUGUUGGAGGAUUGACCCCUUCAGUGCCGCAGUUAACACAAUAAGUAAUCCACCUGGGGAGUACGACCGCAAGGUUGAAACUCAAAGGAAUUGACGGGGGCCCGCACAAGCAGUGGAGUAUGUGGUUUAAUUCGACGCAACGCGAAGAACCUUACCAAGUCUUGACAUCCCUUGACAGACAUAGAAAUAUGUAUUCUCUUCGGAGCAAGGAGACAGGUGGUGCAUGGUUGUCGUCAGCUCGUGUCGUGAGAUGUUGGGUUAAGUCCCGCAACGAGCGCAACCCUUAUGGUCAGUUACUACGCAAGAGGACUCUGGCCAGACUGCCGUUGACAAAACGGAGGAAGGUGGGGAUGACGUCAAAUCAUCAUGCCCUUUAUGACUUGGGCUACACACGUACUACAAUGGCGUUAAACAAAGAGAAGCAAGACCGCGAGGUGGAGCAAAACUCAGAAACAACGUCCCAGUUCGGACUGCAGGCUGCAACUCGCCUGCACGAAGUCGGAAUUGCUAGUAAUCGUGGAUCAGCAUGCCACGGUGAAUACGUUCCC
rnacentral:rRNA from 1 species